CACGUAGGCGGAUAUUUAAGUCAGGGGUGAAAUCCCAGAGCUCAACUCUGGAACUGCCUUUGAUACUGGGUAUCUUGAGUAUGGAAGAGGUAAGUGGAAUUCCGAGUGUAGAGGUGAAAUUCGUAGAUAUUCGGAGGAACACCGGUGGCGAAGGUGGCUUACUGGUCCAUUACUGACGCUGAGGUGCGAAAGCGUGGGGAGCAAACA
rnacentral:rRNA from 1 species